rnacentral:ribozyme from 10 species
UAAAUCAGGAUGGAAGUUCGGCGAUUACGAAUAGUAAAGAAAAGAAUUUAAAAUUUCUUGCUUAUGUGGGUCUUCU